rnacentral:rRNA from 1 species
GAUGAACGCUAGCGGCAGGCUUAAUACAUGCAAGUCGUGGGGCAGCAGGUCUGUAGCAAUACAGAUGCUGGCGACCGGCAAACGGGUGCGUAACACGUACGCAACCUUCUCGUUACUGGGGAAUAGCCCAGGGAAACUUGGAUUAAUACCCCAUAUUAUAUUGGUUAGGCAUCUGACUGAUAUCAAAGCUUCGGCGGUAACGGAUGUGCGUGCGGUUGAUUAGGUAGUUGGCGGGGUAACGGCCCACCAAGCCUACGAUCAAUAGCUGAUGUGAGAGCAUGAUCAGCCACACGGGCACUGAGACACGGGCCCGACUCCUACGGGAGGCAGCAGUAAGGAAUAUUGGGCAAUGGACGAAAGUCUGACCCAGCCAUGCCGCGUGAAGGAUGAAGGUCCUCUGGAUUGUAAACUUCUUUUAUCUGGGGCGAAAAUCGGUUAUUCUUAGCCGCUUGACAGUACCAGAUGAAUAAGCACCGGCUAACUCCGUGCCAGCAGCCGCCGUAAAAC